UGAGGAAUAUUGCACAAUGGGCGCAAGCCUGAUGCAGCGACGCCGCGUGUGGGAUGAAGGGGCUACGCCUCGUAAACCACUGUAGCCCGGGACGAAAAACGCCUUAGAGGCGUUAGACGGUACCGGGAAAGUAAGGGUCGGCUAACUACGUGCCAGCAGCCGCGGUAAUACGUAGGACCCAAGCGUUGUCCGGAUUUACUGGGUGUAAAGGGUGCGCAGGCGGAUGGGUAAGUCAGGGGUGAAAGUCUGCAGCUUAACUGUAGAAUUGCCUUUGAUACUGCUCAUCUUGAGUGUGGGAGAGGUUGAUGGAAUUCCAGGUGUAGCAGUGAAAUGCGUAGAGAUCGGGAGGAACAUCUGUGGCGAAGGCGACUGCCUGGACCAGCACUGACACUGAGGCACGAAAGCGUGGGGAGCAAACA
rnacentral:rRNA from 1 species